UGAGUGUGUAUGCACCCUAAAGCACAAACACAUGCCGCAUGUAUAUAUAUAUAUAUAUAUAUAUACACACAUGCGGCAUGUGUUUGUGCUUUAGGGUGCAUACC